GGAGCUCUUUUCUGUGGUCUGCACACAGGAAGUGGCCCUGUGUGUUCGUGGGGGCUGCUCCACAGCAGCCUUGCACAUCUGGCUCUGGGAACCACAAGGCCCUACACUGUCGAUUCAUCUCUUAACUCCAGUGGGCGCCGGAUACAGUUCAAGCCCCAGCUUUUGUGUUCUUCCACAGCAUCUUGUCCUGAUGUCUCAUCGUGAAUAAGUCUAUCAGAUCUCCUCUUGGGGGUGAGGCUGGGUGGAGACGGCAGAUCUGCACGGUGGAGAAAAGAGAAGAAGGCCAGCACAGUGGCAUUGAGGAAUCCAGGGAGCUCCUGGCCAACUUGGCCUGAGUCUUGCAUUUCAGAUGAAAAAAGGAAAACUGUGCCUCAGAGCCCUUUAUUCACCUGGCUCAGCGUUGGGGAGACAAUAGGGAGUGGUGAAGUCUACGGCAAACAGACCAGCAUGUUGAAACGGGUGGCUGGCGGUCGGCUCAGUCUCGCUGCUGCUCUGGGGAAACUUUGUCAACAGAAGCCCCGAAUCUGAACUUUCAGGUGACAUAUCCAGAUCUUAAAUCUUGACUAUUAUUUAACUUAAAAGCCAGCAGAAUGCAUGAGGAGGGGGUACCACACGCCCUGGAAGCUCAGGGGCGCCAGGUUCCCACACUUCCUGGGGGCAUUGCGGGGACGGUGGGGGGUGGG
rnacentral:lncRNA from 1 species